GACGAACGCUGGCGGCAGGCCUAACACAUGCAAGUCGAACGAGAAGCCACCUUCGGGUGGUGGACAGUGGCAGACGGGUGAGUAACGCGUGGGAACGUGCCUUUCGGUUCGGAAUAACCCAGGGAAACUUGGGCUAAUACCGGAUACGCCCUUCGGGGGAAAGAUUCAUCGCCGAAAGAUCGGCCCGCGUCGGAUUAGCUAGUUGGUGGGGUAAUGGCUCACCAAGGCGACGAUCCGUAGCUGGUCUGAGAGGAUGACCAGCCACACUGGGACUGAGACACGGCCCAGACUCCUACGGGAGGCAGCAGUGGGGAAUAUUGGACAAUGGGCGCAAGCCUGAUCCAGCCAUGCCGCGUGGGUGAAGAAGGCCUUAGGGUUGUAAACCCCUUUCAGCGGGGAAGAUAAUGACGGUACCCGCAGAAGAAGUCCCGGCUAACUCCGUGCCAGCAGCCGCCGCAGUAA
rnacentral:rRNA from 1 species